rnacentral:misc_RNA from 1 species
UCCGAUUUAACAUCGGCAGUCUCUCUAGAGUGCCCAACUUAAUGCUGGCAACUAAAGACAGGGGUUGCGCUCGUUGCCGGACUUAACCGAACAUCUCACGACACGAGCUGACGACAGCCAUGCAGCACCUGUGUCCUCCGUCCCCGAAGGGACUCCAUGUGUUUCCACUAGGAUUCAGAGGCAAGUCAAGGCUAGGUAAGGUUUUGCGCGUUGCUUCGAAUUAAACCACAUAAUCCACCGCUUGUGCGGGUCCCCGUCAAUUCCUUUGAGUUUUAAUCUUGCGACCGUACUUCCCAGGCGGGAUACUUAACGCGUUAACUAAGCUACAGCCGGGGUCAAUACCAGCUACAGCGAGUAUCCAUCGUUUAGGGCGUGGACUAC